GCGCUCGCUUCAGCAGCACAUAUAGUAAAAUUAGAAGGAUAUAGAGAAGAUUAGCAUGGCUCCAGCAUAAGGAUGACAGACACACAAAUUCGUGAAGUGUUCCAUAUAUUU
ensembl:snRNA U6 U6 spliceosomal RNA